GGAAAUGAUCUGGCUGUGAUUAUUUGGGCUCUACUGAUUACCAAGGUUGCUGGCUAAUUUAACUGGCUAAGUAGAUGUCCUCCUCAUCCACACUGCCUCCAUGACAAAAUUUCCUGAAGUCACAUGUUAGGAAGAGUCAAUCCCUAAUAAUAAGAAAAAUGAUGAGUAAAAUGUUGAAUAUCUGGCCAAAGGUGAACAAGUUAUUAUGUUUCCUUACGAGAUCUUUCAAGCGGGACUAGCUAUAUAAUUUGAUAGGCCUCAGAAUGAAAGGAAAAGCAACACUCAUUGUUC
rnacentral:snRNA from 1 species